UUUAUGGAGAGUUUGAUCCUGGCUCAGGAUGAACGCUGGCGGCGUGCCUAAUACAUGCAAGUCGAGCGAACAGAUAAGGAGCUUGCUCCUUUGACGUUAGCGGCGGACGGGUGAGUAACACGUGGGUAACCUACCUAUAAGACUGGAAUAACUCCGGGAAACCGGGGCUAAUGCCGGAUAACAUUUAGAACCGCAUGGUUCUAAAGUGAAAGAUGGUUUUGCUAUCACUUAUAG
rnacentral:rRNA from 1 species